AUGUAUGACAUGACUGCUGGUGGGAGGAGCUCUAUCUCUUUCUUUUUUCAGGGGACUCACAGAUAUGCUGUACACCACUAUUAAAAUAUGUUUUUCGACUCUAGAAGAUCAUUUUUAGACUUUUAAGCUGGUGAUUUAGGACUUGACUCAAAAUAUGGACCAGUUACCCAGUGUCUCUCCAAGCAAAGUCAUGGUUCUAGUUAUUUGCUGCCUUAAAGUAUCAUAUGCUAUACAGUGUGUGGGCCCUGUGUGAACAACGCUGCCUGUGUCACUUUCCACAAUAGAACAGGCUAUUGCAGGUGUGCUUCUGGUUUGUUAGGCGAGUACUGUCAGCACAAGGACCUGUGUUACGUGGGAUAUUGUCUAAUGGAGGAGAAUGCACUGUGAGUGUGGACAGUGUACCUGGGAGCCCCAGAUGUGUGUGUCCUCUGGGUUUCACAGGCCAGUGCUCUGAGAUGAAUUACGUGCCCGGCUUUUCAUCCCCCUGCCUCAAUGGUGGAACCUGCCGGCAGAUGACAGACAGGGUGGCAGUGGCUUAGUGGUUCAUGUAGGUUGUCUACAAACCGGAAGGUUGGUGGUUCUAUCCCCGGCUCCACCUGGCCAAGUGUCGAGGUGUCCUUGAGCAAGACGCCUAACCCCAGCUGCUCCCAACGAGCUGGAUUCAGCCUUGCAUGGCUGACAUUGCAGUCGGUGUGUGAAUGAGUGGGUGAAUGUGAGGCAAUUUGUAAAGCACUUUGGAUGACCAUGGGGUCUGUUGAAAGCGCUAUAUAAAUGCAGUCCGUUUACCAGACACAACUUCUAUAUGCCACUGCCUGCCAGGUUAGUUCCAGAGGGGAGGAAAUAUAAAUCUGUUUUGAUAAUAACAUAAAAUACUAUAAGUCAUAUUUAACAAAUACUUACUUUAUCAGUAGACCAACAGCUUGCAUCCACUUCAUCUUUCUAAUGAAUCAGCUUGUUAUUUAAAAAGAAUAAAUGCAACAAAGCAUCUAAACUUGCAUAUAAAAAUGUAAAAAAAUGUUAGUGACUGAACAUUUUUAUGAUGCUGAAAAGUUAAAGAGAUACUGUAACAUGGACUACCACAUACUGAUAGAAAUUAACCUGUGAUGUGUGUCAGGUGAUUAAGUUUCAUGUUUCAAGAACAUUCUUCAGAGGCAUUUGUUACAUGUAGGGUAAAAUAAAUACAUCUUUAUGAAUUAAUAAACAACACUCACUUGCUGAUUUGACAUACACAUUCUUAAUGUAUUCCUUAAACUGUCCCAAUUCAUCAGCAACAUUUUCUCAUUAGUCCCAGCUGUAUUUCUUUUGAAGCAAUGUGGCAGAUGAAUUUAUUCAGGUGAGAGUUCAGUGACCGUGUUCAAAAUUCCAAUUGUCUUUUUGUAGGAUUCACUUCUCUUGCUUACCUCUGUAACAGGUUUUUUUUACAAAUGUUCUACCUGACAUUGCAAUAUCACAAUCCAGUUCUGACGACUCAUCCGGUUGUUUAUUAUUAUGUUUAUUAUUAAGUUUAUCAUACAUUUUUAUGAUACACUUAAUUAAACAAUGUGUUAAUGCUAACUAUUGAGACCUCAACUAUGUUAAUACUACUGUAAGUUAGAAAACAAUUCAGUAAAUCAACUAAUACCUACUGCUAUGUCCUAAUAAGAAGUGGUGGUGAUUGCCUUUUUUUGUUUUGUUUGCUUCACCAUAAUGUGCAUAAUUUCUUAAGCCUGCUUUAAAAUACAAUAACACUGAAAACUGGAGUAAUUGCUGCUGAAAAUUAAAGGUUUUUACUGUAUUUUUAUCAAAUAAAUGCAAAUAUAUUUCGAAACUGGAUAUGAUAAAGGUUUAGAAUAUGGUCAGAAUAAGGCAUUGUCAUGUGGUUUAUAAGUAUAGCCAAUAUUCAACUGGUUAAUGUUGAAUAGUGUUACUGUUCCCUAAUCGAAAGUGUUACCAUGUCUGGUUUUAUAACUCGAAACAAAUAAGUGUAAGCUGAAUUUUUCUUGCAAUAAGGUUUUGGAGGAGCAAACAUUGAGGUGAAUAUUGAUGAUUGUCCGAAUCACCGCUGUCAGAAUGGAUGUGGAUGAAUGCAGACUGACAAACCCCUGUCAGAAUGGAGGCACAUGCAGUAACACGAGCAACAGCUACAACUGCGUAUGUGUGAACGGCUGGAGUGGCUCUGAAUGCUCUGAAAACAUUGAUGACUGCGCAACUAAGGCCUGUGCUGCUGGCUCCGCUUGCAUCGACCGCGUGGCUUCCUUCCGUUGCAGCUGCCCUCCUGGCAAGACUGGUUUGCUGUGUCGUAUUGAUGAUGCCUGCACCAGUAACCCAUGCAAGAUGGAAGCUCUAUGUUACAAAAAAACCCUUUUAUAAAGAAUCUCUCUUUGGAUUUGAAACUUUAGUCUUUGCAACUUUAUAGAUCUUCUUUUUGCACCAAGAGCUUGCAAAAAAAUAAAAUCGCAUCAUAUCACCCCUUAAGAAAGUUACAGACAGAGUCUCAAAUGACGAUAAGUUCACGCUGUGUGUUAAAGAUUGUUGGAUCCGACACUGACACAUCUGUUUUAUGAACUACAGGGAAGUUUGUCUGCACAUGUCCGAAGUGUAAAUGAAAGAGUAAAAGUGUUUUUCUGUAUACUGCAUGUCUUUGUGAAAUCCCUCCUUUCUUAUGUGGUGCAGAACAGUAUAAAGCAGU